CACGUAGGAGGCGAGCGUUAUCCGGAUUCACUGGGCGUAAAGCGCGUGCAGGCGGUUUGGUAAGUUAGGCGUGAAAGCUCCCGGCUCAACUGGGAGAGGUCGUCUAAUACUACCAGACUAGAGAGCAGAAGAGGAAGAUGGAAUUCCGGGUGUAGUGGUGAAAUGCGUAGAUAUCCGGAGGAACACCAGUGGCGAAGGCGAUCUUCUGGUCUGUUUCUGACGCUCAGACGCGACAGCUAGGGUAGUAAACGGG
rnacentral:rRNA from 1 species